rnacentral:rRNA from 1 species
CCUACGGGUGGCAGCAGUGAGGAAUAUUGGUCAAUGGUCGGGAGACUGAACCAGCCAAGCCGCGUGAGGGGGGAAGGUACAGAGUAUCGUAAACCUCUUUUGUCAGGGAACAAAGACUGGGACGCGUCCCCGGAUGAGUGUACCUGAAGAAAAAGCAUCGGCUAACUCCGUGCCAGCAGCCGCGGUAAUACGGAGGAUGCGAGCGUUAUCCGGAUUUAUUGGGUUUAAAGGGUGGGCAGGGGGUUGGUUAAGUCAGCGGUAAAAGCCCGGGGCUCAACCCCGGCCCGCCGUUGAAACUGGCAGUCUCGAGUUGGAGAGAAGUAUGCGGAAUGCGCGGUGUAGCGGUGAAAUGCAUAGAUAUCGCGCAGAACUCCGAUUGCGAAGGCAGCAUGCCGGCUCCACACUGACGCUGAGGCACGAAAGCGUGGGUAUCGAACAGGAUUAGAUACCCUUGUAGUG